rnacentral:rRNA from 1 species
GACGAACGCUGGCGGCGUGCUUAACACAUGCAAGUCGAACGGAAAGGCCCUGCUUUUGUGGGGUGCUCGAGUGGCGAACGGGUGAGUAACACGUGAGUAACCUGCCCUUGACUUUGGGAUAACUUCAGGAAACUGGGGCUAAUACCGGAUAGGAGCUCCUGCUGCAUGGUGGGGGUUGGAAAGUUUCGGCGGUUGGGGAUGGACUCGCGGCUUAUCAGCUUGUUGGUGGGGUAGUGGCUUACCAAGGCUUUGACGGGUAGCCGGCCUGAGAGGGUGACCGGAGGCGUUGGGAAUGAGGUCAGGCCCGGGCGUCGACGGUAGGAAGAGGGGGGGAAUGUUGCAGAGUGGGCGGGAGCCUGAUGCGGCAACGCCGGGUGAGGGAUGGCGGGCGUCGGGAUGGAAACAGCUUUAGCCUGUAACGAAGCGUGCGUCACGGUAAUGGAUAAAGAAGCACCGGCUAAUUCCGUG